rnacentral:tRNA from 1 species
GCCUUCGUGGUUAACGAUAGCACACUCGGCUCGUAUUCGAGAGAUCCAGGUUCGAGUCCCAGCAAGGGCA